UGCUAGAUCAUGCAAUAAAUUUGAUGUGAUCGGGUUUAUUCUCUAUUUUUUUUCAUGGAAUGGAUGGUUGAUUUUGAUUGUACUUUUCAUCAUAAAGUAUGAGGCUUGAAUUAAUAAGUGAAAUGUGUUAAAUUUGCUUGAUUUAAAUUGAUGUCAUAUGCAUAAGGAAUAUUUGUUUAAACUCGUUUAGUCACAAAAUUGUUUAAUGUGUGAAUAUAUAUAAUGAGAAUUAAGGUUGCUACAUUAAAAAAAAAUAAAAAAAAAAGAGUUUUGUUUUGCUAUUUUGACUUAGUUGAGUAACCAGGGGUCUUCAUGCACCCCAUGUUGACACUCAGGCCAAAAAUUAAGCAGAAUAUGAGCAGUGCUAGUAGCCACCUAGGGUUGUGUUGAAUUGAGUAACCAGGGGUAGCCACCAUAAACUGGUCUAUCUUUGUGUCAAAAGGUCUAUGACACUCUGGGCAAGUCUAAAAGUGUUGAAUAACUUAAAAGCACUUCAAUUUCCUAUCGCUGGGUAAAAUUGUGUGAAAUUUGUGACUUGACAGGUUAGCGGAUGAUUCUUUAUGCAUUGACUUAAGCUAUUUUGGAACUAAAUUGUGUGGAUAUUUUGAAAAUGCUUAAGCCUUGUGUUUUAUACUGAUAAGAACUCUUAAAAUCGAUUAUUUAUUAUAUAAGAAUUGAGAAUUACUAAUUAUGUUAUGUUUAUUGUGUCUUUUAGUGUUUUGCAUCAAGAAUGGAUUAGGAGACCUAUGUGACUGGAUGUUAGUUGUUAUUGAUUGAUAGAUUUGGGUUAUGCUUGAGGACAAGCAUUCGAUUAGUGUAGAGGAAUUUGAUAAUGUGCAUAAUUGGUGAUAAUGAAUGAUUGCAAAAGUGAGAUUUUGGAUGCUUUUCAUGAAUAUUUGAACUGUUGGCUAGAAUUUUGGAUGUUAAGGGCCAAUUUCCAGAAUUUAUCCAUUGAGCCAUGCCCACGGCUUAGGUUGUGCAGAUACAAAGCAGAGGCAGAGUCAAUUGCAUGACUGAAGAUUUUAUUUUAAUUGACUUCAAGCCUAAUUUUGGGAGGAUUGUAUUUUAAAUAGGACUUUUGAUUGGGGAAAUUAGGAAGAAUAAGUUUUAUGCCUACUUUUUCUCUCUUUUCCAAAGUUAGUUAGAAUUCUCCCUUUAUUAGGACUUCUUAUGUUUUAUAUAAGGAAAAAAAUGCAGGUUUUAGGAGAGCAAAAAAUUACAGAAUUCCUUUUAUUUCUCUUUUGCUCAUUUUUAAACCAUGUGUGGCUAAUUCUUCUUUGAUUUAAUAAAGGUUAAUUAAAGUCAAGGUUCAUUCAA